AUGCUCUGGGAUUUUAUGACCUGACUGAUUACUGGGAAAACAUCUUGAAGAUAGGAUGCUGUGUUGGAGGAUAGACUCAUUCAGAAAUUGUGGAAGUGUUUUUACAGACCCCAGGACAAUAUUAAUUUUUCAAAAAGGAC
rnacentral:lncRNA from 12 species